rnacentral:rRNA from 1 species
UACAGAGGUCUCGAGCGUUAGGCGGAAUCACUGGGCUUAAAGCGUGUGUAGGCGGAUCGGUAAGUACCUUGUGAAAUCCCACAGCUUAACUGUGGAACUGCUUGGUAUACUGCCGGUCUUGAGCCAGCUAGGGGCUACCGGAACAAAUGGUGGAGCGGUGAAAUGCGUAGAUAUCAGGAGGAACACCGGUGGCGAAGGCGAGUCUCUGGGCCGAUACUGACGCUGAGGAGCGAAAGCGUGGGGAGCGAACAGG